ACUUUGCCUUCGAGGUGUGAUUUCCAAAACCCAUCCGAAAUGGUUAUGUAGACCUCUUCUUCAAUUGUGCCAUUUAGAAAGGCCGUCUUCACGUCAUAUUGAUGUAGUGUCUACCUCUUUCACGCGACAAGGGUGAUGGUAGUGCGUAUGAUGCUCCAACGGACCGUGGGAGCAAAUGUCUUGUAGAAGUUGACUCCCUCUCUUUGUUCAAAGCCGCGCGUAAAUAGCUGCGUCUUGUGCUUGUUGAUUUGCCCUUAUGCGUCGCGUUAUGUUUUGAAAAGUCAUUUCGCUGAAAUUAGCUUCUUGCCUUCCGGAAGCUUAGUUACUUUCCAUGUUGCAUUCUUUUAGCUGGCAUCGAUCUUUUCUUGAAUCGCAACUCCCCAGUCCGCACUAUAAACAGCUUUGGUAUAGGUUAUAGGGUCCUCAAUGACGUUGAGUUCAACAGAGAGGACCAGGUGAUCUUUUAGUUGAAUGGAAGGUCAACACUCUCGCGUGGAGUAGCAUUUUUCUAGAAUGGAGUCUUGAUCAGAUUAAUGGGAUGAGAAGCUCUUUUGUUGGUCUGUUGCUGUGGUCUGAGGGGUGCUUGGCCGUUGAUGUGAAUUUUUGGUGGGCAAGUCAUGAUCAUGUCGACUAGCUUCAAUGUCGUCAAUGAAAGCAAUUGUCUCGGCAUGGUCCAUGGUGGUCGCGACUACAAGUCCAUCACUGGAUUGAGUUGCUGCAAAAGAAGAGUGGUGUUCAGAGGUCGGUGAUCAUAAUGUAAGUUGGUGGUAGCCAACGCAGCUCUCGUCAAAUACAACGUCCUGCGAGACAAGUAUUUUCUUGCGCUCAGGUUUGUAAAGUCUAUAUGCCUUAGUACACUUAUCAUAUCCCACAAGUAGGCAUGCUUGGGUUUUACUGUGGAGCUUGUCUCUCUCUUCUUUAGGUACUAACACAUAACAUAUGCCUCUGAAGAUGCGGAAGUGAUCGAUUCAUGGUUUGUGUUUCAUGUAUAAUUGCUCCAAGGUGAUGCCUUAAUUUUCAUUUUUGGGGCCAUGAUUUAUGAGGUAGUUGGAUAUAUUCAUGGCUUCCACCUGGAGGAAGCUCGGGAUGCUGCCUUCAAACACCAUGCUCCUUGUCUUUUCCACUAAGCUUUGAUUCCGUCGCUCUACUCUCUUGUUCUGCUGCAAAGUGCAAGGUUGCAUGAAUUGUCAUCGUAUGCCAUAAUGAUCACAGGAAGCUCUUUCUUCUUUAACAUCCAGCUAGGCACUCAUGACAAACAAUCCUGAUCAAAUCUAUUUCUGAUUCUUAACUGUGUUCAAGCUAUUCCUAGAUCCAGUGACUUGUCGUGUGUCGCCAAAAUCCAGAGUUUGCAGAUUAGACGCGGGGUUCCUUUAAGCCUUGGCAGUUGCAGCAAUCCCGAGCAGAGUACCCUUCCUUACCACACACAUAGCAGAUAUGCUUAGCUCGGUGUUUGGGUUCGAAGUACUUACCACUGUUGGAUGAUCUUCCUCUUUAUUGAAAUCCAUGUAGUGGUUGACUUUGGUUGUACUCAAGCGAGCCCCUUCCUCUAUUCGAAGUGAUUCUGGCUCCCUUGCAAAAAUGGACUGAUAGAGCCUCCUCAUCUUGUAGAUGUUGGUUGCGGUAUUUUGGUCGGUGAUGCUCAGUCAGGAGGAUCACACUCAUCAUGUCGAAGGUUGAAAAUGUUGCACCAUGAGUAAUGGUCAGGAUGAUGUAUUCAUAUGCCCUGGAUAAUUCAUUUAAUAUCGCUUGCAUUAGAGUUUGAUCAGG